GGUUCGCUGGCCUAGCGGUUAUGGCAUCUGUCUUACAUUCUUUAAAACGUUGUUUGCACACAGAAGGUCGAGGGUUCGAUCCCCCCGCGAAUCA
rfam:Fibulorhizoctonia sp. CBS 109695 unplaced genomic scaffold FIBSPscaffold_103, whole genome shotgun sequence.